CUGCACCUCUGUUCCAGACUGAGCCUUGUGCUAGCUUUUCAUGCAGAGAUAAUAGUUGUGUUUAGCAGUGGCUAGUUUUUGUUUCUGCAUGGACUGUUAAUGGAUAAUGUUCCAGGUUGUGAUUGAGCAAAAGCAGGGGAGGUGAGGGAAGUUGACUGUAUUUUCCUUUCCUUUUCUUUAAGGUGCUGUGAAAGGUCCGAAUGGUGCUGGAAGCAGGUCAUUCACUGUCAGACUCGUCUUGUAUCUGGACUGUGUCUCGCUGGGCAGCAUACUGUGCCAUGUUAGGCAAUCCUGAUAUUAUGCAACAACUCAGAGCACUGCGGAAAAUGGCCAUUUCAUUUGCAUCAAACCUGUGUGGAAAACAGAGGCUGAGAAUGCAAAGAAAAAUACUCUACAUUUUCAUUGAGUGAUAUUAUGUUUUUUUUUUCUUCGUGCAAUUAGGUCUCAUUUAGAGGCAUUAGCUCAUGCAGUGUCAAAUGAUUUGAGAUUAAGUGUUUGUGGAUGUUACCAUUCAUUUGUCUUCUCAUCGUAGCACUCCACAUCAGACGUUGUGCUGAGUCCAUUAAACCCUCCGACAGCAAACAACUGAUCAUCAACUACCUAGAUUUUGAAGAAGGUGCGUGUUCUUACCCUGCCGUGCAGUGAUGUGGCGCUGGCAUCACUCCUCCGUUCGUUCAUAGAUGCGGUCAGUGUCCACUGGUUGGUGUCAGGAUCAUAGCGUUCUGCUGAUUUCAGCCGCCCAUGUCCAUCAAAGCCACCGAUGGCAUAAAUGAAACCAUCCAGAGCAGCAACACUAACAUAGCAUCGCCGUUCAUACAUGGGAGCCACCUACAACAACAUGGUUUUACCGUUUUUUUUUUUUCAUAUAAGUCAGUGCAUAUAUCAAUACACUAUUUCAUUGUUCUCUUUAAUCAGUUGCAAUAAAGUACAAUGAUAUUA